AUGAUACUCUUAAUACAACACCUAUAUCUCAGUGUGGUUUUCACCUUGAUUAGUGCCAAAAGUCCACCCCAGUGUUGUUUACCACACAGCCAAGGAAUUACGACGGAAGAAGCUUUCUUCAUGUACACCUACAACUCCAAAAUAUAUGAAUGCAUCCCAUUUAUUUACUCGGGAUCUGGGGGAAAUAAUAAUCGCUUCUGGUCGAAAAGGGAUUGCGAGGAGACAUGUCUGGCAUCAAAUGAAGAGUGAAUGUGUUGCUUAACAUCUAUCGCGGAUCAAAAACCUAUUACAGAGCCAUCCACAAAACCACUCACCGUUUCCCAUCAAUAAAAAAUAUACAAAAAACUCUCUGGCGUCUGUCACAUUAGCACAUCAUUCAUAAGGACAUGUGCCAAUGGUUUUCAAAUAUGUUUUCCACCAACGGCAGGGAAAACAACGAGACCCAAAACGAGAACGACGAUGUCGACCUCCCAGGCGAAUUCGGAUUCGCAGGCUCGGCGAGAUUUGCGUUUGCCAAAAUGUCAAUAAACACCCGAUGGACGGACAGCGGUGAUAUUGACAUUUAUUUUUAUAUAUUUUAUUUCCAGCACCCGAAGCCCAGCGUUACUUUCUUAUUUGGUUUCAUUUCACAUGUCACAGGCGCGCUGACAAAACUUUAUGCGAAUUGGUCUCACAAUUUGAAAUAGUUUCAUAAAAAGCAAAUGCCAGGGGCUGGCCACCCACUUUCUCCCUCCCACCACACACCACCCACCGAAUCACCUCCCACCCAAUGCCAUUUCGCUUCCCGGGGUGCCUGCCAA